rnacentral:rRNA from 1 species
GAUGAAGGACGGGACUAACGCCGAUAUGCUUCGGGGAGCUGUAAGUAAGCUUUGAUCCGAAGAUUUCCGAAUGGGGAAACCCACCAUACGUAAUGGUAUGGUAUCCUUAUCUGAAUACAUAGGGUAAGGAAGACAGACCCAGGGAACUGAAACAUCUAAGUACCUGGAGGAAGAGAAAGCAAAUGCGAUUUCCUGAGUAGCGGCGAGCGAA